rnacentral:rRNA from 1 species
UAGCUAGUUGGUGAGGUAAAGGCUCACCAAGGCGACGAUCUGUAGCGGGUCUGAGAGGAUGAUCCGCCACACUGGAACUGAGACACGGUCCAGACUCCUACGGGAGGCAGCAGUGGGGAAUUUUGGACAAUGGGGGCAACCCUGAUCCAGCCAUGCCGCGUGAGUGAAGAAGGCCUUCGGGUUGUAAAGCUCUUUCAGCCGGGAAGAAAACGCAUGGGUUAAUACCCUGUGUGGAUGACGGUACCGGAAUAAGAAGCACCGGCUAACUACGUGCCAGCAGCCGCGGUAAUACGUAGGGUGCGAGCGUUAAUCGGAAUUACUGGGCGUAAAGCGUGCGCAGGCGGUUUUGUAAGACAGGUGUGAAA